rnacentral:rRNA from 1 species
AGUGAACGCUGGCGGUAGGCCUAACACAUGCAAGUCGAACGGCAGCACAGUAAGAGCUUGCUCUUACGGGUGGCGAGUGGCGGACGGGUGAGGAAUACAUCGGAAUCUACUUUUUCGUGGGGGAUAACGUAGGGAAACUUACGCUAAUACCGUAUACGACCUACGGGUGAAAGCAGGGGAUCUUCGGACCUUGCGCGAUUGAAUGAGCCGAUGUCGGAUUAGCUAGUUGGCGGGGUAAAGGCCCACCAAGGCGACAAUCCGUAGCUGGUCUGAGAGGAUGAUCAGCCACACUGGAACUGAGACACGGUCCAGACUCCUACGGGAGGCAGCAGUGGGGAAUAUUGGACAAUGGGCGCAAGCCUGAUCCAGCCAUACCGCGUGGGUGAAGAAGGCCUUCGGGUUGUAAAGCCCUUUUGUUGGGAAAGAAAAGCAGCAGGUUAAUACCCCGCUGUUCUGACGGUACCCAAAGAAUAAGCACCGGCUAACUUCGUG